GACGAACGCUGGCGGCGUGCUUAACACAUGCAAGUCGAACGGUAAGGCCCUUCGGGGUACACGAGUGGCGAACGGGUGAGUAACACGCGGGUGAUCUGCCCUGCACUUCGGGAUAAGCCUGGGAAACUGGGUCCACUACCGGAUAGGACCACUGCCUGCAUGGGUGGUGGUGGAAAGCUUUUGCGGUGUGGGAUGGGCCCGCGGCCUCUCAGCGUGUUGGUGGGGUGAUGGCCUACCAAGGCGACGACGGGUAGCCGGCCUGAGAGGGUGACCGGCCACACUGGGACUGAGAUACGGCCCAGACUCCUACGGGAGGCAGCAGUGGGGAAUAUUGCACAAUGGGCGCAAGCCUGAUGCAGCGACGCCGCGUGAGGGAUGACGGCCUUCGGGUUGUAAACCUCUUUCAGCACCGACGAAGCGCAAGUGACGGUAGGUGCAGAAGAAGGACCGGCCAACUACGUGCCAGCCGCCGCGGUAA
rnacentral:rRNA from 1 species